GGCAUCCCUAGUACUGCGAGUGAGUGGGAAGAGCUCAAAUUUAAAAUCUGGUAGCUUUGCUGCCUGAGUUGUAAUCUGUARAAGCAUUUUCCGCAUUGGACCGUGUACAAGUCUCUUGGAAUAGAGUGUCAUAGAGGGUGAGAAUCCUGUCCAUGACACGGACUCCCAAUGCUUUUGUGAUAUGCUCUCAAAGAGUCGAGUUGUUUGGGAAUGCAACUCAAAAUGGGUGGUAAAUUCCAUCUAAAGCUAAAUACAGGCGAGAGACCGAUAGUGAACAAGUACCGUGAGGGAAAGAUGAAAAGCACUUUGGAAAGAGAGUUAAACAGUAUGUGAAAUUGUUGAAAGGGAAACACUUGAAGUCAGUCAUGCCUUGUGGGACUCAGCCUUGUCUUAUGGCUUGGUGUACUUCCCACAGGACAGGUCAACAUCAAUCUUGGUCAGUGGAUAAAGAAGAGGGGAAUGUAGCAUCUUUGCAGAUGUGUUAUAGCCCUGCUUUGUAUACACUGGCUUGGAUUGAGGAUUGCAGCAUGCCCUUGUGGCCAGGACUUAUCAUGUCACAUGCUGAGGAUGUUGACAAAAUGGCUUUAAGUGACCCGUCUUGAAACACSGACCA
rnacentral:rRNA from 1 species